GUAAGAGCUCCUCCUGUGUUUUCCUACUCUUCAGCACCACCUAGUGGUCGUCUCAGCUCAGUACCUCUCAAGAGUCCUCCGUUCGGCACGGGGUUCUGAAUCUACUUCUGGACCUACAUCCCUGCUUCAAGCACACCUGCUUCUCAGGUGUAAUAAUGGUUUUGUUUAGCUGAACACACUUUAUUUAGCUCAUCAAGAGUGGCAUAAAUGAGUUCAAGUAAGAUUCCUCUUCCUAUUGUGUGCAUGAUGGAGACCGAGGCUCUGCGUAUUCUGGAGAAGAUGGAACAGAGUAAAAGAACAUUUUAAAUCAUUCAAUGAUUGUAGCCAUUUUAUCAGUGCUCACUCACAAGACCCACCCUUUCCCAAAUAUACCAGAGCGUAAUAACUCCAAAUAGAUUUGAGAGAAUAAUGCACAG
ensembl:lncRNA